rnacentral:rRNA from 1 species
UGAGGAAUUUUGCGCAAUGGGGGAAACCCUGACGCAGCAACGCCGCGUGAGUGAUGAAGGCUUUUGGGUCGUAAAGCUCUGUCAAGUGGGAAGAACCCACAUGGUAUUAAUACCACCAUGUGUUGACGGUACCACUGAAGGAAGCACCGGCUAACUCCGUGCCAGCAGCCGCGGUAAUACGGGGGGUGCAAGCGUUAUUCGGAAUUACUGGGCGUAAAGAGCGCGUAGGCGGUCCUUUAAGUCAGCUGUGAAAGCCCGGGGCUUAACCCCGGAAGUGCACUUGAAACUAAGGGACUUGAGUAUGGGAGAGGGAAGUGGAAUUCCUGGUGUAGCGGUGAAAUGCGUAGAUAUCAGGAGGAACAUCGGUGGCGAAGGCGACUUCCUGGACCAAUACUGACGCUGAGGCGCGAAGGCGUGGGGAGCAAACAGGAUUAGAUACCCUGGUAGUCCACGCAGUAAACGGUGAUCACUAGGUGUAGCGGGUAUUGACCCCUGCUGUGCCGCAGCAAACGCAUUAAGUGAUCCGCCUGGGGAGUACGACCGCAAGGUUA